rnacentral:misc_RNA from 1 species
AAAGGAAUUGACGGGGACCCGCACAAGCGGUGGAUGAUGUGGAUUAAUUGAUGCAACGCGAAACCCUUACCUACCCCUUGACAUGUCUGGAAUCCCGAAGAGAUUUGGGAGUGCUCGCAAGAGAACCGGAACACAGGUGCUGCAUGGCUGUCGUCAGCUCGUGUCGAGAUGUUGGGUUAAGUCCCGCAACGAGCGCAACCCUUGUCAUUAGUUGCUACGAAAGGGCACUCUAAUGAGACUGCCGGUGACAAACCGAGGAAGGUGGGGAUGAUGCCUAAGUCCUCAUGGCCCUUAUGGCAGGGCUUCACACGUCAUACAAUGGUCGGGACAGAGGGUCGCCAACCCGCGAGGGGGAGCCAAUCCCAGAAACCUGAUCGUAGUCCGGAUCGCAGUCUGCAACUCGACUGCGUGAAGCUCUUGGAAUCGCUAGUAAUCGCGGAUCAGCAUGUCGCGGUGAAUACGUUCCCGGGUCUUGUACACACCGCCCGUCACACCAUGGGAGUGGGUUUUACCAGAAGUAGUUAGCCUAACCGUAAGGAGGGCGAUUACCACGGUAGGAUUCAUCAGGUGGAAGUCGUAACAAGGUAG